GCAGUCGACGAUGAUGCCCAGCUUGCUGGGUGGAUUAGUGGCGAACGGGUGAGUAACACGUGAGUAACCUGCCCCUGACUCUGGGAUAAGCGUUGGAAACGACGUCUAAUACUGGAUAUGAUCACUGGCCGCAUGGUCUGGUGGUGGAAAGAUUUUUUGGUUGGGGAUGGACUCGCGGCCUAUCAGCUUGUUGGUGAGGUAAUGGCUCACCAAGGCGACGACGGGUAGCCGGCCUGAGAGGGUGACCGGCCACACUGGGACUGAGACACGGCCCAGACUCCUACGGGAGGCAGCAGUGGGGAAUAUUGCACAAUGGGCGAAAGCCUGAUGCAGCAACGCCGCGUGAGGGAUGACGGCCUUCGGGUUGUAAACCUCUUUUAGUAGGGAAGAAGCGACUGAGUUUACUCUGAGUGACGGUACCUGCAGAAAAAGCACCGGCUAACUACGUGCCAGCAGCCGCGGUAAUACGUAGGGUGCAAGCGUUGUCCGGAAUUAUUGGGCGUAAAGAGCUCGUAGGCGGUUUGUCGCGUCUGCUGUGAAAUCCCGAGGCUCAACCUCGGGCUUGCAGUGGGUACGGGCAGACUAGAGUGCGGUAGGGGAGAUUGGAAUUCCUGGUGUAGCGGUGGAAUGCGCAGAUAUCAGGAGGAACACCGAUGGCGAAGGCAGAUCUCUGGGCCGUAACUGACGCUGAGGAGCGAAAGCAUGGGGAGCGAACAGGAUUAGAUACCCUGGUAGUCCAUGCCGUAAACGUUGGGCGCUAGAUGUAGGGACCUUUCCACGGUUUCUGUGUCGUAGCUAACGCAUUAAGCGCCCCGCCUGGGGAGUACGGGCCGCAAGGCUAAAACUCAAAAGGAAUUGACGGGGGGCCC
rnacentral:rRNA from 1 species